GACAGAGGGUGCAACCGUUGUUCGGAAUUACUGGGCGUAAAGCGCGUGUAGGCUGUUUCGCAAGUCGGAUGUGAAAGCCCUGGGCUCAAUCUAGGAAGUGCACUCGAAACUGCGAAACUGGAGUCCUGGAGAGGAAGGCGGAAUUCUCGGUGUAGAGGUGAAAUUCGUAGAUAUCGAGAGGAACACCGGUGGCGAAGGCGGCCUUCUGGACAGUGACUGACGCUGAGACGCGAAAGCGUGGGGAGCAAACAGG
rnacentral:rRNA from 1 species